UACGAAGGGGGCUAGCGUUGCUCGGAAUCACUGGGCGUAAAGCGCACGUAGGCGGCUUUACUUAAGGUGACAGGGUCGAAAUCCUGGAGCUCAACUCCAGAACUGCCUUUGAUACUGAGAGCUUGAGUCCGGGAGAGGUGAGUGGAACUGCGAGUGUAGAGGUGAAAUUCGUAGAUAUUCGCAAGAACACCAGUGGCGAAGGCGGCUCACUGGCCCGGUACUGACGCUGAGGUGCGAAAGCGUGGGGAGCAAACAGG
rnacentral:rRNA from 1 species